rnacentral:tRNA from 1 species
GGGGAUUUAGCUCAGUGGUUAGAGCGCUUGCCUAGCAAGCGUAAGGCCCUGGGUUCGGUCCCCAGCUCCG